rnacentral:lncRNA from 1 species
ACACACACGUGCCCGAUACAGACAUCAGAGACUUAUAGAAGUGUCCGUGAUAUAUAGUUAUUUUGUUACCAAUAUUCAGAUAACCAUAAGUUAAAAAAGCUAACUACAGUUAGCUAACGGGUAAAAUAAUUUUUUUACCCCUUAUAUAUAUUAUUUGUAGAGUAGAGCUAUUAUGCUAUCUGAAACAUAAAGGAUAUGAUGUUUCUGACUUUUUGGCUCUUAAAUCACCCCUUUAAGGGCCUGUUUGUUUGCAUGGAAGUGGGGUGGAAGUGGGAAAGGAAAAGUAAUUUUCGGUGAAAACUAAUCAUUUUCGUUGUUUGGUUCACCGUAAUUUUAUUAAGCCCGAAAGUCUAGUUCACCCAAAUUAAUGAAAUUGACUUCCCCCUCCCAUGGGGCGAAGUCAAUUUCAGUGAGGUGAAAAAAAGGCAAGAGUGGGAAUUGAUGUGUUAGGAUUACCUUUUUCUCUACCCUUUUUUUUCAUCCAAAUAUAUUCAAUUGUGGAAGUAAUUAAAUUUUUUAUUUUGAUUGUAUGUCUAAAAUAUGAUCAAAUUUGGUUAGAUAAGUUUUAAUAUAUUUUUUGUUUAAUUUGUAUAUUUAGAAAAUGAUGAAAAAUGAAUUUGUUAAAUGUUAAUAAUUUUUUAACUUUAGAAUUUUAUUUGUUGCAUUAUUAUAAUUUAUAUGCAAACAAAUAAUAUAAUUUUUUAAAUUUUAUUUUAUAAUUAUACAUAUAUAUAAUUAGAACUAGGCUGGAAUACUAUUAAUAGCACCAAUGACUUGGUGCUAUUAAGUUUUCCGCCCUUGGAUUAAAAGAUGUGCAGUUAGGAUGAUGUGAACCCCCUAGGGUUGAGUGGGUGGUUAGUUGAAUAGUAUAAUCUAACGGGUUAAAAUAAUCAAAGGGGUUAAUCUAACGGCAGAAAACUUGAUAGCACCAAGUGUUUGGUGCUAUCGAUAGCAUAGCAGCCGGACUCUAUAUAAUUAUAUACAUAUAUAAUUAUAUUAAUUUUUAUUUAUUAUAAUUUAUUAUUCACUAAGUUACAAAGUAGACAAUGAUAUCACUUCGGAGGUAAGUAUACCGGGGGUGAAGAACUACACUUUUUACGUCAUCUACUUCCCAUCAAACAAACAACAGAACUCGCAGAACUGCACUUCCAUAGUUAGAAACAAAUAGCGGAAGUGAAUUAAUUUUCACCCCAACUCCACUUUAACCCAAAAUCCACUUCCACCCCAAGUCUACUUACGUUGAAACAAACAUGCCCUAAUCAUUUCUAACAUUUGGAUUAAUACUAUUACCCUAUGGAGACCAUUCAACCCUAGUAGGUACAACUCAACCCUAGGAGGGAUGACAAUCAUCUCAACCUUACAAUUCUUAAUCCAAUGGUCAAAAAAUCGAAAGUAUCAAAUCCUCUAUACUUCUGAUAGCAUAGUAGCUCUACACUUAUUUGUAUUCUAAUAUUGAGUUUCAUCAUUUUUCUCACCCUCUCCUCUUUAUCCAUAGCGACAAUGAGACCUACGGUGGCAACGAUAUCGAAGGCAAGGCCUCGAUCAAGGCAAAAAUUAGGUAUGCCACAUAUGUCAUGAUGAACGCAAGGAAAGAAAGAAAAAUGGCUUUUUGUAGGGACAAAUUUAUAAAGGCAAAAUAGGGGGUUUUUUUUAUAUUUAGGCCCCUCAAAAAAAUAAUCCUACCAAAUUUAUAAUUAUAAUUUUGGUCAUAUUCCCUCUAUGCAGGUGCCACAUAAGGGCCACGUGAGCAAGAGAAUAAGUUGAACGCAGUAAUUCAUUCACCGUGUCUAAACACGGUGAAUGGUUUAUCGUGUCUAGGGAAAUAUGGGAGAAGGAAAAAAUAUAUGUAUUGUGAAAAAAUAUAAAUAUUGAAUAAGUAUGGAAUAUGGUCAACCAUUCACCGUGUUUGAAUACGGUGAAUGGUUCAUCGUGUUCAACUUAACACCUCGGCCCGCUUGCAUGGCGCUGAUCUGGCACCUGCGUGGCAGGGAUAGGACCAAAAUUAUAAUUAUAAAUUUGAUAGGGCUAUUGGUGAAAAAAAACUGAGGGGACCACAUGCAAAAAACCCCCGCAAAAUAGUUAUUUUGAGUACCCACCGUUAAAAAACUAACAAUAAAUCAAACGGCAAGGACAUAUAUAAAUGAAACAAAACUUUUUGACAGAUAUAUUUCCAAACCAAAGAAUUUUUGAAUGGUUAAAUUUGAAAACUUUAGGAAUAUAUUUACUAUUUGAUAUAUUUAUAGUUACUUGUAUGAAAUUAA